rnacentral:rRNA from 1 species
CCUACGGUAGGCUGCAGUGAGGAAUAUUGGGCAAUGGGCGAGAGCCUGAACCAGCCAAGUCGCGUGAGGGAAGACGGUCCUAUGGAUUGUAAACUUCUUUUAUAUGGGAAUAAAAUGUUCCACGUGUGGGAUUUUGUAUGUACCAUAUGAAUAAGGAUCGGCUAACUCCGUGCCAGCAGCCGCGGUAAUACGGAGGAUCCGAGCGUUAUCCGGAUUUAUUGGGUUUAAAGGGAGCGUAGUUGGAUUGUUAAGUCAGUUGUGAAAGUUUGCGGCUCAACCGUAAAAUUGCAGUUGAAACUGGCAGUCGUGAGUACAGUAGAGGUGGGCGGAAGUCGUGGUGUAGCGGUGAAAUGCUUCGAGAUCACGAAGAUGUCCGAUUGCGAAGGCAGCUCACUGGACUGCAACGGACACUGAGGCUCGAAAGUGUGGGUAUCAAACAGGAUUAGAUACCCGGGUAGUC